rnacentral:rRNA from 1 species
CAGUCGCCGCGGGAAUACGUAGGUGGCAAGCGUUGUCCGGAAUUAUUGGGCGUAAAGGGCUCGCAGGCGGUUUCUUAAGUCUGAUGUGAAAGCCCCCGGCUCAGCCGGGGAGGGUCAUUGGAAACUGGGAAACUUGAGUGCAGAAGAGGAGAGUGGAAUUCCACGUGUAGCGGUGAAAUGCGUAGAGAUGUGGAGGAACACCAGUGGCGAAGGCGACUCUCUGGUCUGUAACUGACGCUGAGGAGCGAAAGCGUGGGGAGCGAACAGGAUUAGAUACCCCGGUAGUCCCUGUCUCUUAUAC